UUUGCUGCCGGCGAAGGUAGAUAUCGCUCGUGGGCGGUGGCCAUCAUUGAGAGUCUACCCCCCUCUAAAAUUUCUCUUCCUGGGGUUGGUGGCGCAGGUGGCCGGGUGAGUGCAUGAACGCGUUUGAUGCGGUCUUCAGGGUGCAGAUGCUCGCCCACCUCAGCGAGUCCGGCGGCGAGGCCAUCAGGAGGUCCGGCGGCUAGCGACGGUGGUGGAUGUGCUGGAGGUUGGUGGCGUUGAGGGGGCAGUAAGGAAGCUCACGGAGAAGGGUGUGGAUUUCCUAGAUGAGUUCGUGCAAUGGAUAAUGGUCGGAUCUGAGGAGCGGGGCAGAGACUUGCACUGCGGCUAUGCUUCAUGAGAGCUAUGGGGUUAUGUAGACAAAUGUGAGAUCGUGCCAUAAGCAAAUGACAUCAAGAUCUGAGCACCGUUGCAGACGGCCUCGAGUUAUUUUCCUAUUCAUCUCCUACAAAAUGUUGCUUGCAUGGUCAAUUUGGGCAUCGGUUUGUUAAGCAGCAAAAGCUCGCAUGUUGAAUCUACUCAACUCAAGUGAGUCACUCAGAAGGUUGCCAUGACUACAUCGGUGUUGCAUAGUUGAAUCGGAAGACUAUGAUUGCCAAGGUAGAUUGGAUCCAGAAUAACAAUUAGAAACCUUUAUGACUCAGGUGAGAAGCCACUCAGAAGGUUGCUUGGGCGUCACUACAUCUGGCUUGGUGACAUUACGUAGUUGAAUUGGAAGACUGAUUUUGUUGGUAGUGUGCUAGCUAGGUAGCAGAUUUGGCUGACUUCAAUUUUUGGGCAUGUGCUGGGUGCGGUUGCAUGUAUGUGUUUUUAUGUGCCGUGUUUGCCUUGGCAAGUCAUGUUUGUAGUCCGUAUACACGUCUUAUUUGCAUGUGUGUCCGAGUUUGAAAAAAAAUGAUGUCCUUAUUUUCUUAGGUUCCUUAUUUAUUUAUUUAUUUAUUUA